rnacentral:rRNA from 1 species
UACGAAGGGUGCGAGCGUUGUUCGGAAUUAUUGGGCGUAAAGGGUUCGUAGGUGGGAAGGUAAGUCGAGUGUGAAAUCCCUGAGCUUAACUCAGGACGUGCACCCGAAACUGCUUUUCUUGAGUAUUGGAGAGGGUUGUGGAAUUGCUGGUGUAGGAGUGAAAUCCGUAGAUAUCAGCAGGAACACCAGAGGCGAAGGCGGCAACCUGGCCAAAUACUGACACUGAGGAACGAAAGCGUGGGGAGCAAACAGG